AACGAACGCUGGCGGCAUGCCUAACACAUGCAAGUCGAACGAGACCUUCCGGUCUAGUGGCGCACGGGUGCGUAACGCGUGGGAAUCUGCCCUUGGGUUCGGAAUAACAGUGAGAAAUUACUGCUAAUACCGGAUGAUGUCUUCGGACCAAAAAUUUAUCGCCCCGGGAUAAACCCGCUUACGAUUAGGUAGGUGGUGCGGGAAUGGCCUACCCUGGCGACGAUCCUUAUGUGGCCUGAGAGGAUGAACAGCCACCCUGGGAGUGAGAAACAGCCCCCACUCCUACAGGGAGACACAGCGGGGAAUAUUGGACAAUGGGCCAAAGCCUGAUCCAGCACUGCCGCGUGAGUGAUGAACGCCCCUAGGGUUGUAAAGCUCUUUUGCCGGCGAUGAUGUUGACCCUUUCUGGAGAAUAAGCUCCGGCUAACUCCGUGCCAGCAGCCGCGGUAAUACCGAGGGAGCUAGCGUUGUUCUGAAUUACUGCGCGUAAAGCGCGCGUAGGUGGUUACUCAGCCAGAGGUGAAAGUCCGGGCUUCAAGCCGGAACUGCCUUUGAAUCUCACUAACUAGAAUCUUGCAGAGGUCAGUGGAAUUCGGAGUGUAGAGGUGGNAUUCUUUAUAUAUUCAGAAGAACACUGAAGUUCAUGGCGAUCGACUGGAUCAGUAUUGAUGCUGAGGUACUACCACGUGGGCAGCAAACUCGAUUACAUACCUUGUUCUCUAUGCCACUAAACUAUGAUAGCUAGCUGAUCAGACACUUGGCGCUUCGCUGCCUCAGCUAACGCAUUAGCUAUCCGCCUGGUGAGUCCGUUGCUACAUUAACUA
rnacentral:rRNA from 1 species